GUUACAGUGAAGUGAGAGUGCUUGAUAGUUAAUAUGAACAUGGAACAUUUCAGCUCUUGAGUGUACUAGUAUCCCUUUAGUAAAAAAAAAACAAACACAGACCUCAGAGAGCACAGUGCGUGCGCAGCUGCUAGAGUUUGUAGUGAAGUCAUUGACUAGCAAGGCGCAUGCUGUAGUUUCAUCUGCUCAAGAGUAUGGUAUAGUGUCGCUUUUACAAUACGAUUAAAUUUUUCCUGCAAGUUUUCCCACCAAGGCCAGUGGUUGCAGGCAGUUUGUACACGCCCUUUUGGAAUGAGAAGGAGAGUCAAGUUUACUUCUUACUGAUAGAAGGCUGGGGGUGGGGAAAUUAAACUCUUCACAGAAGUGUGGCAUCUCUGUCUUUAACUUUAUAUUCUUCCAACUAAAUAUGCCAGCUUUUAACUAUGUUUCUUCCCCAAGUAUUUUCCAGAGGUUUUCUCUUAAAUCUUCACAGGAACUGAAAUGGUAGUUAAAAUUAUUUUCACUUGUUUCAGUAGUCCAGGGGUUUCAUGUUAUAAAACCUAACCUACUUCUCCUAUCUUCAUUUUAAACAACAUAAAAAUAGGUUAUUCAAAACUCAAAUAUCAAAAUUAAUGAAAACAAGAUAGGAGAAAACCCUUUUAGAACAAGCUAAGACAGCUUUUUAAAUAAGUUCAGAUUUCAGUUCAUGUGUAUGUGUCCUGCCUUGCUUUUAUUAUCCCAUGGGAAAGAAAUACAAAUGAAGAAUUUCUAUACAAAUAAAGAAUUGUAUUUAUAGAGCUGACCUGUCUUCUGUCUCACCAUGGACUGAGACUCUUAAGAUCAUACAAAAUAGCAGUCUUUCUGAAGAUCCACUUGUGCUAACAAGAACUAAUGAAUGCAAUUCCUAUUUUUAGUGUCCCCCAUUCAUCAGAUUAUUUGACUGCACCUUGGUAUUUCCGCAGUGACCUGCAAGAUAUCAUCAAAGUCAAAACCAGCAGAGGCUGUGAACUUCUGCUGUGAAAUGAAAUGUUACACAGUACUUGAUGGUAUUCUCAAAGACCAGUGACAAAAGCCUUCACAUAGAACAGCCAAUUCAUUCAGAAAUUGCCUGAUCCACUUUGAAAGCAAUCAGUCCCUCCAAUAACUUCUUUACUUCUUGUUCUUUCAGUGCACCUUGCAUUCGGGAAGUUGUUAAUAUUUUAGGUUAUGAAGAAUUCAGAGGCUUAGAAAGAAUGUGUGCACUUUUCACAGGAUCAAAUCUGUUACUCUCAAGAAAACUACAUAAUACCAGGAGAGUUUGCUUAGAGCUAUAUUUUGGAUAGAAUUAAUACUUUGAGACGUUCUUCAGGAAAAAUAUCUGUAGUUACACAUUUCAAGAAUUAAUUUCAUUAAUAAUUCCUAACCUGAAUAACUUGAUUUAUUUAAAAAUCUGGUUGUAGUCUAUUUCAGUAAUGAAAAGUAACAUUUGGAGGGUGGCAAUUGAUUCAAUCAUUUGAGAAUGGGAGAAUAAUUUUAGCUAUUAUUUUAGCUGCGGUCUCAACUGUUAAGUCAUAUAUGUAUAUACAAGCCAAUCCAGACUUGAGAGAAGGAUGUUUAAAAGUGUUACUUACUUCUUAAUGCAAUACUGUUCUCAUUUAGCUUUGCAGUUAUAACUCUGCAGUAGAACAUAUGGUUUAACAGUACAGAAGUGACUGGAAAUUAUACUUUAAAAUUAAUAAUACUAUUCCUUCAGCAUGUGUAGUGAUCAGUCCCUUUGUAGAAUGAUGGUCAGGGUUUGGCUCAGUCUUUUCCUCCUAACUCCUUAUGCAGUGGGGCAGCUAGUGGUUCCUGUGAACUCUAGUGAUCUCUAGCUGCAGCGGUGACCAACUAAGGCAGCUGGUAGCAUUUAGAUACUAGCCUUCACUUGCACUGUCCAGAAAGAAUUAUUUAAUGAGAAGCAUACUCAAUAUCAGAAGAAAGGAUCGUUUUUCUCACAGUGCUGGUAAAUGCUGACCGAGAUUAUAAUUUGAAGACCCAUUGUAGGGCACAAGAAGGCUUUGUCAUGGUAACCCAGGAUAGUUUGCUUCCCCCCACAUCUCCCCCACCUUUGCACGGGGACCAGCGUGAUGGUGGAUCUUGGAAUUUGGACAACAGCACCUGUAGCACAUCAGCAAGUUCACUAAUGAGCAAAACAGGACCUUCCAUAUGUGUAAUAUAUUAAUCAGCACAAGUUUUAUUAUCCACGGUGCUUUCCUUUGAGCUUCACCCCUGAGCAGGGCACCACUGCAUCGGGUCCCCAUUUUGAUUAGCAUUGGUGUCCCAGGGCUCCCACCGUGGUAACUCCAUGCUUUCAGUAAAUCUAGAGCUUGCACUCAUGAAGGGUCAUGCCUGAUCCUAGAGGGUUCCACACCUGCUUUUCACCUGUAUCAUUCAUGUAUUACCAUAGCUCUGGGUGCAGGCUGCAUUUGCACUACUUGCUGUGUCUCAACUCAAGCACUUCAGCUGAACCUGAACUGGGGGAGGGCCACUUGUGGUAGGUUGUAUAUCACAGGGAAAAAAUCUCUGGCAUUAUGAGGCAUGGAAGUCCUUCCUUUUCCAUCCUUUACAGAUUAUUUGAAAAAUAAACAAACAAAAAAAACAAAAAAAUCUACAACCCAUUGCUGUGCUAACAUCUUGGUUUUAUCUACAAAAGGCCAAUGAGAAAUUCAGAAUUGAGGUAAAAGCCUAUAAGAAUUAAUUUGAGCCAAAUUGGCAGAGAAAAAACAAUAACUAAAGAGCGGUAUUUAGGGGGGGGAAAAAAAGACUUGUAGGGGAAAGUGUUGUUAAGUAUUUUAAUAAAACGUGUAGAAUUGAAAACUAAAUUGAAAACAAUCUUACUUAAAACUGAAGUAUUUUAUACUAAAUUUAUCAGGUUUGUAGAAGUGAGGAAAAAAAAUAUUUUUCAUGUAUUCAAUCAGGUGUGACUUCUGCAUGUAUUUUCUGUAGAGUGUCAUGAAGAACCGUGACUGGUAGCAGCAAGUACUGCGAUUGUAACUCUGCGUAGAUUUUUUGGCUUCAAAGCCAUGCAGUGUUCUCCAUGCACUCCCCACUGCUUGCAAUGAAGAAAACCUGACAGUUGUAUGUUAGUGGAAAACAACCAGUGACGAACUGCUUCCCAGAAGGACCAAAGGAACUUUUUUGCCUUCUAUGUCCUAAAGUGAUCUGCAUUGUAAGAAACUGGAUUAGCUCUCAUCUGAGAGGAGAUGCAGAGAAAGCUCAUUUGAAAUACUGAGGCAUGAGAUCUAGACAGUUUUCUCCUCCUCCAGUUUUCUAGCUACAAAUGUGCUUGAUACAUGACUAUUUCACUUCUUGAAAUGCCAAAGCACAAUAGAAACAAAAAAAUGUUCUCUAGUUGUUUACUCCAGGCUUUUCUUCACAGUCCUUCGGAAGUGUUUUCAUCAAUGUAUUUCACCACUCACCUACGACAGACUGCAGUGUGCUCUUGUGUCCUGUAUUUGUGCUCAAGCUUCUUUGGGCCUGCAAUGUGAAAAUAAAACAAAUUGCUUCAAAGGAAGUAGAACUAAUAAAACUUGAUUUCCCACA